AUUGACCACCCAGAAUGUGCCUGAUCCCGUCUGAUCUCGUAAGCUAAGCAGGGUAGGGCCUGGUUUGUACUUGAAUGAGAGCUUUAAUU
rnacentral:rRNA from 1 species